rnacentral:rRNA from 1 species
UACCUAGCGGCAGACGGGUGAGUAACAUGUGGGAAUCUGCCCUGGAGUGGGGAACAACAGUUGGAAACGACUGCUAAUACCGCAUACGCCCUGAGGGGGAAAGCAGGGGAUCUUCGGACCUUGCGCUAUCAGAUGAGCCUGCGUCGGAUUAGCUAGUUGGUGGGGUAAAAGCUUACCAAGGCGACAAUCAAUAGCUGAUUUGAGAGGAUGAUCAGCCACACUGGGACUGAGAUACGGCCCAGACUCC